AACGAACGCUGGCGGCAUGCCUAACACAUGCUAGUCGAACGAGACCUUCGGGUCUAGUGGCGCACGGGUGCGUAACGCGUGGGAACCUGCCCUUAGGUUCGGAAUAACUCCCCGAAAGGGGUGCUAAUACCGGAUAAUGUCUUCGGACCAAAGAUUUAUCGCCUUUGGAUGGGCCCGCGUUGGAUUAGCUAGUUGGUAGGGUAAAAGCCUACCAAGGCGACGAUCCAUAGCUGGUCUGAGAGGAUGAUCAGCCACACUGGGACUGAGACACGGCCCAGACUCCUACGGAAGGCAGCAGUGGGGAAUAUUGGACAAGGGGCGAAAGCCUGAUCCAGCAAUGCCGCGUGAGUGAUGAAGGCCUUAGGGUUGUAAAGCUCUUUUACCCGGGAUGAUAAUGACAGUACCGGGAGAAUAAGCUCCGGCUAACUCCGUG
rnacentral:rRNA from 1 species